GAAUGGCUUCUUCUCCUCUUGGUUGCUGCUACUCCUUGCUCUCCUUUAUCUCUUGUUUUUCAAAAAUUACAAAGUGUAGAGAAUGUUGGAUGGCUCAUCCAAUCCUUUUCCUUGCUUGGCUGCCUCUCUCCUUGCCAACUCAUUAAUGCAAUAUUAAACUCCACCUUUACUAAAGUUCUUUGGCCCUUUUCUCCACUUUGUCUUCAC
rnacentral:lncRNA from 1 species